rnacentral:rRNA from 1 species
GAUGAACGCUGGCGGCGUGCCUAAUACAUGCAAGUCGAACGCGCAGCGAAAGGUGCUUGCACCUUUCAAGCGAGUGGCGAACGGGUGAGUAACACGUGGAUAACCUGCCUCAAGGCUGGGGAUAACAUCUGGAAACAGAUGCUAAUACCGAAUAAAACUUAGUAUCGCAUGAUACAAAGUUAAAAGGCGCUGCGGCGUCACCUAGAGAUGGAUCCGCGGUGCAUUAGUUAGUUGGUGGGGUAAAGGCUUACCAAGACGAUGAUGCAUAGCCGGGUUGAGAGACUGAUCGGCCACAUUGGGACUGAGACACGGCCCAAACUCCUACGGGAGGCUGCAGUAGGGAAUCUUCCACAAUGGGCGCAAGCCUGAUGGAGCAACGCCGCGUGUGUGAUGAAGGCUUUCGGGUCGUAAAGCACUGUUGUAUGGGAAGAACAGCUAGAAUAGGGAAUGAUUUUAGUUUGACGGUACCAUACCAGAAAGGGACGGCUAAAUACGUGCCAGCCGCCGCCGUAA